rnacentral:rRNA from 1 species
CGGCGAACGGGUGAGUAAUGCUUGGGAAUCUGCCCAUUAGUGGGGAACAACCAGCCGAAAGGUUGGCUAAUACCACAUACGCCCUACGGGGGAAAGCGGGGGAUCGUAAGACCUCGCGCUAAUGGAUGAGCCCAAGUCGGAUUAGCUUGUUGGUAGGGUAACGGCCUACCAAGGCGACAAUCCGUAGCUGGUCUGAGAGGACGACCAGCCACACUGGGACUGAGACACGGCCCAG